rnacentral:rRNA from 1 species
GAUGAACGCUGGCGGCGUGCCUAAUACAUGCAAGUCGAGCGAACAGACGAGGAGCUUGCUCCUCUGACGUUAGCGGCGGACGGGUGAGUAACACGUGGAUAACCUACCUAUAAGACUGGGAUAACUUCGGGAAACCGGAGCUAAUACCGGAUAAUAUAUUGAACCGCAUGGUUCAAUAGUGAAAGACGGUUUUGCUGUCACUUAUAGAUGGAUCCGCGCCGCAUUAGCUAGUUGGUAAGGUAACGGCUUACCAAGGCAACGAUGCGUAGCCGACCUGAGAGGGGGAUCGGCCAACCGGAAACUGAGACACGGCCCAGACUCCUAGGGGAGGCAGCGGUAGGAAUCUUCCGCAAUGGGCGAAAGCCUGACGGAGCAACGCCGCGUGAGUGAUGAAGGUCUUCGGAUCGUAAAACUCUGUUAUUAGGGAAGAACAAAUGUGUAAGUAACUAUGCACGUCUUGACGGUACCUAAUCAGAAAGCCACGGCUAACUACGUG